rnacentral:lncRNA from 1 species
AUGGAUGGGUCUUCCAGCCUGACCUGAAACAUACUAGCCAAGGCAACAAAGGAGUGGCACAUUAGAGGCACAUUAAGGUCAUGGAGUGUCCUAGCCAGACUCCAGACCUCGAUCCUAUAGAAAAUCUGUGGAGGGAGCUGAAACUUCAAGUUGCCAAAUGACAGCCAAGAAACCUUAAAUAUUUAGAGUGGAUCAAAAUCUCUCCUGAGAUGUGUGCAAACCUGGUGACCAACUACAAAAAACGUCUUACUGUACCUCUGUGCUUGCCAAGGGUUUCUGCGCCAAGUACUAAGUCAUGUUUUGCUUGGGGAUCAAAUACUUAUUUCCCUCACUGAAAUGCAAAUCAAUUGUAUUUUUUUGGUUGAUAUUCUGUCCCUUAUGUUAAAAUAAGCCUACUAUAAAAAUUACAGACGCUUCAUUUCUGGGCAAGUGGGCAAACUUACAAAAUCAGCAGGGGAUCAAAUAAAUAUUUUCCUACAAUGACUCUGAUCUGUGUUACAUAAAUAUGACUGUGAAGAUUCAGUUUGUCAGUUGAGAUCACUACAUCAGAACUGAAAUAUUAUAUCAGUGUAUACAAUAUAUGACUGCUAGCCAAAACUCAACCAGCCUCCCUCAUGACCACAUGCUCGCCCCCCCCCCACUCUACCCCUUCAUCUGAGUGAAGUGGUUGAACCUUUCUUGUCUGUGCUGUGAAUAGGAAUUGCGCGCUGAGAUUGGAGCUCGUGUGUGUGUGUGUGUGUGUGAGGGAAAGAGUGGGGGGUAUGAGGCACCAAGGCAAAAAAGGGAGAUACUAUGCCACCAUUCAACUUGAGGCCUUUUUUUCAAGUGCCCGUCGGUUGCAUUUGUCACGUCCUCCUUUCAUGUCACCACUCGCCACCUGCUCCCGAAAUUCCUGAACAUUUUCUGAAACCUUCCAGCGUCCUGCUUCAUUUCUCUGCCUCCCUGUCCUCCUUUCAUGUCACCACUCGCCACCUGCUCCCGAAAUUCCUGAACAUUUUCUGAAACCUUCCAGCGUCCUGCUUCAUUUUCUCUGCCUCCCUCCCUUUCGCUGGCCCCAUCCACUCUGUUCCACAACUGAAAGGAAACCAAAGAAACAUUGCUCCUCUAACUCUCUUUCACAGACUCAGCCCUCUGUCUUACACCCCCUAAGUUCAUGUUCUUCUGUUCUGCAUUUGGAAUAAGCCAUCCCCUUGCUCUCUCACUCACAAACACAAUAUGUGAAAAAGAUGAUGUAUCAUUUAUGGAUUAUACAAAUAUUAACACUCUACAGAAGACUCUACUGCCACUCAUGGACUCUAAUUCUACAACAUCACAAUACGAAAACUUUAAUGGGAAAUGAACAUUCUGUUAUCAUUUACUCGCCCUCAUGUCAGUCUAAACCCGUGCGACUGACUGAAGAUAAAAGUAUCAAAUUUGAAUGAGAAAUGAAAGUCAGUGGGAUCCAGUGUUGUUUCAACCCCAAAUUAUCUUCUUUUGUACAGGUUUGGAGCGACAAAGGAUGAGUAAACGACUGAUUUUUAAUUUUUGGAUUAUACCAUUUCUUGAACAUAAUAUACAAUGGCUGCUAAAGUAUUUGGAAAAUUGAACCACACUUAAAAAUGUACUAGAAUCAUUAAAUCAUUGUAUAGGUUUACAAAAUAUCAAACCAAGGUGGGUUUAUUUUAAACAACAACAGCAUAAGGUGUAGAUAAUAAAACUAUAUAUAUAUAUAUAUAUAUAUAUAUAUAUAUAUAAUAAUAAUAUAUAUAUAUAUAUAUAUAUAUAUAUAUAUAUAGUGAAACUUUGUGGUUGUGAAUCAUUACAUUCAUAGUUUGUGUGAUGAACUAUCCGAGUGAACUUGAUGUAUAUUGACUUCAUACUGUCCAACCUAUAAAAUCACUUCAAUGGCACUUGUUUUUCAGCUUCUUGAAAGUCAUUUCAGAGAAAAGCUCUAGCAUAAUUUGUUUGCAAAUGGCACAUAGUUUGACUUAUUUUUAUUCUUUGGCACUUGGUUUUGUCUUAUUUUUAACUCAUUUCUAGUUAUUUUCUAAUGCAAUGAUAUUCAAUGUUCACUACUCUAUAAUAUAUGUAGUUCUGGCUCCCAAUUAAUGCCUAAACCAAACCUUGUCUGAUUCCACCAGCACAAAAUGACUGAUGUAGCAGCUGACUGGAGGUCUUCAGGGAAGAGCAGGGUUUUAUCUGUCAGGGCUCAGAAGGUGCCGCCAACAGUUUACCUGCUGCUGCCCACAGCGUAGACCAGCUGCCAUCUCUAGAAACACCCUCUAAUAUCCUGCCAACACCUGUCUGCCUGAAUUCUGAUCUGCACCUCAGAUUUUAAGUGUGAGGGGAGCAGAACAAAACCAGAGCCCCCUGGCCUCUCGCACGGGCCCCACUACAGCAUUGUUGAGCCCACAGCAACUGUCCCCAUUCUGGACCCAGGAGAGGGGAGGAAAACUACCAGUCAGCAGACUCUGCUGACCACCCGUGAAAUAGCACUGAGGAACCCAGCAAAGGAAUUUCUUAGGAUUCAGAGCUGGUUAACUAAGACUAACUAAAGGGAAACGGGAUUUCUGCAAAUGGCAGAUGUGUAAUGUCAAAUCAAUCUAAUCCACCAGCUCUGGAUUAUGUAAUCUUUAAAAAUAGAUAUUAAAAUCUCUAUUAAAAUAUCUAAAGGAUUUGUGACAUCUUGAACUAAUAAAAGAGAAAGGAAAAAUCAUCAACAAAAAUAAGUCAUAUUAAUAAUAAUAAAAAUUACUUGAAAAAGGCAUUGUUAUUAUAAUUACUAUGAAUAAUAAAAAUUAUAUGGACCAUAAUUUA